rnacentral:rRNA from 1 species
CCUACGGGAGGCAGCAGUGAGGAAUAUUGGUCAAUGGGCGGGAGCCUGAACAAGCCAAGCCGCGUGAGGGAAGAAGGUACAGCGUAUCGUAAACCUCUUUUGUCAGGGAACAAAGGCGGGGACUAGUCCCCGGAUGAGGGUACCUGAAGAAAAAGCAUCGGCAAACUCAGUGCCAGCAGCCGCGGUAAUACGGAGGAUGCGAGCGUUAUCCGGAUUUAUGGGGUUUAAAGGGUGCGCAGGCGGCCUGUUAAGUCAGCGGUAAAAGACCGGGGCUCAACCCCGGCGCGCCGUUGAAACUGGGGGGCUGGAGUUGGGGAGAAGUACGCGGAAUGCUCGGUGUAGCGGUGAAAUGCUUAGAUAUCGCGCAGAACACCGAUUGCGAAGGCAGCGUACCGGCUCCACACUGACGCUGAGGCACGAAAGCGUGGGUAUCGAACAGGAUUAGAUACCCUAGUAGUC